GCAGGAUCAUAAAUAAAAAAGAUGAGAUUAUUAUAAUGAAAGUGUAUGCUGACAUUGUAAUAAUCUUGUCUAUGUUCUAAAUACAAAAUACCUUCACGAGGUUUAGAAUGAGUGAUAUAAGGAAGUUAUAUUAGCUAAAUUAAUUUGUAAAAUAGGGUUGGUUGAUGUCAGAUAGUUCGUGUUGUUGAUUCUAUUAAAGUGUAAAGAGUUAUAUUGAGUAUAUAUUAUAAAUAAAGACAUAGAUUAUUUUUAACGAUUAGAAGCAAGAAUCUUUUCUCAUAACAACGCACUUAUUUCAACA
rnacentral:misc_RNA from 1 species